GACGAACGCUGGCGGCGUGCUUAACACAUGCAAGUCGAACGGAAAGGCCCCUUCUGGGGUACUCGAGUGGCGAACAGGUGAGUAACACGUGAGUAACCUGCCCUUGACUUCGGGAUAACUUCAGGAAACUGGGGCUAAUACCGGAUAGGAAUCCUUGCUGCAUGGUGGGGGUUGGAAAGCUUCGGCGGUUUUGGAUGGACUCGCGGCAUAUCAGCUUGUUGGUGGGGUAGUGGCUUACCAAGGCUUUGACGGGUAGCCGGCCUGAGAGGGCGACCGGCCACAUUGGGACUGAGAUACGGCCCAGACUCCUACGGGAGGCAGCAGUGGGGAAUAUUGCACAAUGGGCGGCAGCCUGAUGCAGCAACGCCUCGUGCGGGAGGACGGCCUUCGGGUUGGAAACCGCUUUCAGCAGGGGCGAAGCUUGUGGUGACGGUACCUGCAGAAGAAGCACCGGCUAACUACGUG
rnacentral:rRNA from 1 species